rnacentral:rRNA from 1 species
AACGCUGGCGGCGUGCCUAAUACAUGCAAGUCGAACGGUCUUUCUAUGGAAGCUUGCUUCCACUGAGAAGAUAGUGGCGGACGGGUGAGUAACACGUGGGUAACCUGCCCAUAAGAGGGGGAUAACAUCCGGAAACGGGUGCUAAUACCGCAUAGUUUUCUUGAUCGCAUGAUCGGGAAAGGAAAGACGGCCUUUGUGCUGUCGCUUAUGGAUGGACCCGCGGCGUAUUAGUUAGUUGGUGAGGUAAUGGCUCACCAAGACGAUGAUACGUAGCCGACCUGAGAGGGUGAUCGGCCACAUUGGGACUGAGACACGGCCCAAACUCCUACGGGAGGCAGCAGUAGGGAAUCUUCCGCAAUGGACGAAAGUCUGACGGAGCAACGCCGCGUGAGUGAAGAAGGUUUUUCCGGAUCGUAAAACUCUGUUGUCAGAGAAGAACAAGUUGGAGAGUAACUGCUCCAGCCUUGACGGUAUCUGACCAGAAAGCCACGGCUAACUACGUGCCAGCCGCAGC